rnacentral:rRNA from 1 species
UACGUAGGGGGCAAGCGUUGUCCGGAUUUAUUGGGCGUAAAGAGCGUGUAGGCGGCCUGAAAGGUCAGCUGUGAAAACUCGAGGCUCAACCUCGAGACGUCGGUUGAAACCAUCUGGCUAGAGUCCGGAAGAGGAGAGUGGAAUUCCCGGUGUAGCGGUGAAAUGCGCAGAUAUCGGGAGGAACACCGGUGGCGAAGGCGGGUCUCUGGGCCGAUACUGACGCUGAGGAGCGAAAGCGUGGGGAGCGAACAGG